GACAGAGGGUGCAAACGUUGCUCGGAAUCACUGGGCGUAAAGGGCGUGUAGGCGGGUAGAUAAGUCGGGCGUGAAAUCCCUAGGCUCAACCUAAGGAACUGCACUCGAAACUGUUUAUCUUGAGUGCCGGAGAGGAAAGCGGAAUUCCUGGUGUAGAGGUGAAAUUCGUAGAUAUCAGGAGGAACACCAGUGGCGGAAGG
rnacentral:rRNA from 1 species